CCCGACUGCUAUCGGAUUGAGAUUUAGCCAUGCGAGUCGAACGUCCCUCUGUUGCGGGGGGCGUGGCGUACGGCUCAGUAACACGUAGUCAACCUGCCCUGGAGACAAUGACAACCCCGGGAAACUGGGAUUAAUUCAUGGUAGGUCACCUCAUCUGGAAGGAGAGAUGGCUCAAAGGGGUGCGCGGGCUUCUUCUGCGUACUUGCUCCAGGAUGGGACUGCGUCCGAUCAGGCUGUUGGCGGGGUAAUGGCCCACCAAACCUGUAACCGGUACGGGCCUUGAGAGAGGUGGCCCGGAGAUGGACACUGAGAGAAGGGUCCAGGUCCUACGGGGCGCAGCAGGCGCGAAACCUUCACAAUGCGCGAAAGCGUGAUGAGGUUAAUCCGAGUGGUCCCCGCUGAGGGGAUCUUUUGUUGGCUCUAAAACGGCCAGUGAAUAAGGGGAGGGCAAGUCUGGUGU
rnacentral:rRNA from 1 species